AUUGAACGCUGGCGGCAGGCCUAACACAUGCAAGUCGAACGAGUGGCGGACGGGUGAGUAAUGUCUGGGAAACUGCCUGAUGGAGGGGGAUAAAUACUGGAAACGGUAGCUAAUACCGCAUACCAUCAGAUGUGCCCAGAUGGGAUUAGCUAGUUGGUGGGGUAACGGCUCACCAAGGCGACGAUGCCUAGCUGGUCUGAGGGGAUGACGACCCACAUUGGAAUGGAGACACGGUCCCGACUCCUACGGGAGGAAGCAGUGGGGAAUAUCGCACAAUGGGGGAAAGCCUGAUGCAGCCAGGCCGCGUGUAGAAAGAAGGCCUUCGGGUUGUAAAGUACUUUCAGCGGGGAGGCGUUACCCGCAGAAGAAGCACCGGCUAACUCCGUGCCAGCAGCCGCGGUAAUUC
rnacentral:rRNA from 1 species